GAUCCCAUCAGAACUCCGAAGUUAAGCAUGCUUGGGCGAGAGUAGUACUAGGAUGGGUGACCUCCUGGGAAGUCCUCGUGUUGCAUUCC
rnacentral:rRNA from 1 species